AUGUUGAAGUUUAUUGUGUUAUGUCGCAUAAGUUAUUAUAUUAUAUUAUAUUUAUACCUAGAGUCCAAUGGUGCGAGAGUAUUAUCUAUUUUAUUAUUAUUUUCAAUUGCGUUUAUCAAUAAAAAAACUAAAUUUUUUUUGAGAUUUAUAUCAAUUUUUUUGUGUGGUUUGUUGCAGAUUUUGGUUUUUCUCUAUUUGAUUUGCGAAUCUUUACACAACGGUUUUGAAUAUGAACACCCACAAUAA